AUGCGGGCCAACAUUUUACUACUCCCUACUCCACUGCCAACAAAAGCUCCACUGCCAUUGUCUGCAAUGGCGUCUCGGCCUUUCCCACGGGAGUCCCGGCCUCCUAGCUCUAGCUCUCUCUCCGCCUCCGUUCAAAUGGGAUCCUCGCCUGCGCCUUCGCCUUCGCCUUCGACUUCGCCGCCGAUGCCGAUGAUAGGGAGGGCCGGCAACCUCACCGUCUUCAUCACGCCGCCGUCGCCGGCCAGCACCCCGCGCUCCUCGCGCCCGUCCGACUCCCCAAGGCCGGACUUCUCCACCCCUACCUCCCGCACGGGUACGGCACCGCCUCCGGCGCAGAAGAGCGCUAGCCCGCCCGCGCCGCCGGUCAAGUUCUCGCCCCCUGCACCGCCCGUGAAGGUGUCCCCAGUGCAGGUGCCCCCGCCGCAGUACGGAAAGGCUUCUGCGGGGGGCAAGCACGACGGAUCGGCGUUCGGCUUCUUAUGGGACGCCGUCGCGCGCGUGCAGGAAGCGCACGCGAGCCUGGACGAGUACGUCGCCAACUGGUUCGGAUUGGAUCAGUCUAAGUACCAGUGGGCUCUCAACGACUACUACGAUACCACCGGCAAGGAAGUGGAAUAUGGCAAAGCUGGGAAGCCAAAGGAGCUUACUACUACUACUACUACUACUAAUAAUAAUAAAGUGCAGAAAGUUUAG
rnacentral:rRNA from 1 species